GUGCAGCAGGCGCGAAACCUCCUCAAUGCACUCACGUGCGAAGGGGUUACCUCGAGUGCCGCCUGAAGAAGGCGGCUUUUCCAUGGUCUAAAAAGCCUAGGGAAUAAGAGGGGGGCAAGACUGGUGUCAGCCGCCGCGGUAACACCAGCCCCUCGAGUGGUGGGGAUGAUUAUUUGGCCUAAAGCGUCCGUAGCCGGCCGGGUAAGUCUCCCGUUAAAUCCAGCGUCUCAAGCGUUGGACUGCGGGAGAUACUGUCUGGCUAGAGAGUGGGAGAGGUGUACGGUAUUCUGGGGGUAGGGGCGAAAUCCUUUGAUCCCCGGAGGACCACCAGUGGCGAAGGCUGUACACUAGAACACGUCUGACGGUCAGGGACGAAAGCUGGGGUAGCGAACCGGAUUAGAUACCCGUGUAGU
rnacentral:rRNA from 1 species